rnacentral:rRNA from 1 species
UGGGGAAUUUUGGACAAUGGGGGAAACCCUGAUCCAGCCAUCCCGCGUGUGCGAUGAAGGCCUUCGGGUUGUAAAGCACUUUUGGCAGGAAAGAAACGUCAUGGGUUAAUACCCCGUGAAACUGACGGUACCUGCAGAAUAAGCACCGGCUAACUACGUGCCAGCAGCCGCGGUAAUACGUAGGGUGCAAGCGUUAAUCGGAAUUACUGGGCGUAAAGCGUGCGCAGGCGGUUCGGAAAGAAAGAUGUGAAAUCCCAGAGCUCAACUCUGGAACUGCAUUUUUAACUACCGGGCUAGAGUGUGUCAGAGGGAGGUGGAAUUCCGCGUGUAGCAGUGAAAUGCGUAGAUAUGCGGAGGAACACCGAUGGCGAAGGCAGCCUCCUGGGAUAACACUGACGCUCAUGCACGAAAGCGUGGGGAGCAAACAGG